UACAGAGGUCUCAAGCGUUGUUCGGAUUCAUUGGGCGUAAAGGGAGCGUAGGUGGCGUCGUAAGUCAGGUGUGAAAUCUCGGGGCUCAACCCCGAAACUGCACCCGAUACUGCGAUGCUAGAGUACUGGAGAGGAGAUUGGAAUUUACGGUGUAGCAGUGAAAUGCGUAGAUAUCGUAAGGAAGACCAGUGGCGAAGGCGAAUCUCUGGACAGUUACUGACACUGAGGCUCGAAGGCCAGGGGAGCAAACGGG
rnacentral:rRNA from 2 species